GGAUGGAUGGCCGAGCGGUUUAAGGCGCGCGCCUGGAAAGCGCGUAUAGGGUUAAUUAGCUCUAUCGAGGGUUCAAAUCCCUCUCCAUCCGCCA
rnacentral:tRNA from 1 species